CCUACGGGUGGCAGCAGUGAGGAAUAUUGGUCAAUGGACGAGAGCCUGAACCAGCCAAGUAGCGUGAAGGAUGACUGCCCUAUGGGUUGUAAACUUCUUUUAUAGGGGAAUAAAAUGAUUCACGUGUGGGAUUUUGAAUGUACCAUAUGAAUAAGGAUCGGCUAACUCCGUGCCAGCAGCCGCGGCAAUACGGAGGAUCCGAGCGUUAUCCGGAUUUAUUGGGUUUAACGGGAGCGUAGGUGGAUUGUUAAGUCAGUUGUGAAAGUUUGCGGCUCAACCGUAAAAUUGCAGUUGAAACUGGCAGUCUUGAGUACAGUAGAGGUGGGCGGAAUUCGUGGUGUAGCGGUGAAAUGCUUAGAUAUCACGAAGAACUCCGAUUGCGAAGGCAGCUCACUGGACUGCAACUGACACUGAGGCUCGAAAGUGUGGGUAUCAAACAGGAUUAGAUACCCGAGUAGUC
rnacentral:rRNA from 1 species